GACGAACGCUGGCGGCGUGCCUAAUACAUGCAAGUAGAACGCAGUUGCGAACGGGUGAGUAACGCGUAGGUAACUGCCUCAUAGCGGGGGAUAACUAUUGGAAACGAUAGCUAAUACCGCAUACUGUGAGAUGGACCUGCGUUGUAUUAGCUAGUUGGUGAGGUAAAGGCUCACCAAGGCGACGAUACAUAGCCGACCUGAGAGGGUGAUCGGGCAAACCGGGACUGGGACACGGCCCAGGCCUCCAAGGGAGGCAGGAGGAGGGAAUUUUCGCAAAUGGAGGGAAGUCUGAACGAGCAACGCCGGGUGAGUGAAGAAGGUUUUCGGAUCGUAAAGGUCUGUUGUUAGAGAAGCGGUAACUAAACAGAAAGGGACGGCUAACUACGUGCCAGCAGCCGCGGUAAUUC
rnacentral:rRNA from 1 species